UACGUAGGUGGCAAGCGUUGUCCGGAAUUACUGGGUGUAAAGCGCGUGUAGGCGGGAGGCCAAGUCUGCUGUGAAAUCGCCCGGCUCAACUGGGCGGGGUCGGUGGAAACUGGUCACCUGGAGGACGGUAGAGGCGAGUGGAAUUCCCGGUGUAGUGGUGAAAUGCGUAGAGAUCGGGAGGAACACCGGUGGCGAAGGCGGGUCUCUGGGCCGAUACUGACGCUGAGGAGCGAAGCUGGGGAGCGAACAGG
rnacentral:rRNA from 1 species